rnacentral:misc_RNA from 1 species
UAUCCGUAGGUGAACCUGCGGAAGGAUCAUUAUCAAGAUAUUUAUUUAGCGUUUAGUGCUAUCCCAUUGUGUGAUUUACACUGUUGCUUACACUGGAUGUGUUCCCAUGCGUUGUGUUUGAGACACUUUGGCUUGUGAACGCUUCAUUCACGGCCUGCUAGUGAGAUGACUCUUUACAAAACAACGUUAAUAACCAAUUGUCUGAAUAUUUUAAUCCAAUGCACUAAAACUUUCAAAAACGGAUCUCUAGGCUCUUGAAUCGAUGAAAAACCAAGCAGA